rnacentral:rRNA from 1 species
CUCAGUAGGCUUCCGCUCCGCCACCACGCCACCUCUGGCCGCCAGGGCUGGGGAGAACAGAAGCUAAACGGGGUUGGACUUGGCCAGCAUUUGGAUGGGAAACCCCCAAGGUCUGGAGACUGCUGAAA